AACGAACGCUGGCGGCAUGCCUAACACAUGCAAGUCGAACGAGACCUUCGGGUCUAGUGGCGCACGGGUGCGUAACGCGUGGGAAUCUGCCCCUUGGUUCGGAAUAACUUCGGGAAACUGAAGCUAAUACCGGAUAAUGACGUAAGUCCAAAGAUUUAUCGCCAAGGGAUGAGCCCGCGUAGGAUUAGCUAGUUGGUGGGGUAAAGGCUCACCAAGGCGACGAUCCUUAGCUGGUCUGAGAGGAUGAUCAGCCACACUGGGACUGAGACACGGCCCAGACUCCUACGGGAGGCAGCAGUGGGGAAUAUUGGACAAUGGGCGAAAGCCUGAUCCAGCAAUGCCGCGUGAGUGAUGAAGGCCUUAGGGUUGUAAAGCUCUUUUACCGGGAAGAUAAUGACUGUACCGGGAGAAUAAGCCCCGGCUAACUCCGUGCAG
rnacentral:rRNA from 1 species